UGCGCGCAGCGUAGGUUGCUUCCUCUUUGUGCUGCCGGGCGGUUGCGUGCAGAGUGGGCUACAGUGCUGUGUGCUUGAACUCUUGGGACGGGGCGGACCCGCGUUCCGGCGCUCAGUCUGAGAUGAGCACUCACGUGUUAUCCUGCACCAUGACCCAGCUCCUACCGUGGAUCUCCUGCAGGUUAUUGGUCAAACACAACCCCUGCACUAGAACCAUGUGUGGGCGAGUCACCUGAAGCAGACGCUUGCAUGUCUGUAUACCUGAGCCUGGUAACCAGAUAGGUUACAAUACAGUGAAAUUCGUUGUUAGUGAAGGACUCACGUGAAGUGAUAAAACUUCAAAGCUUGCAGUGUACUGUGGUAAAGAAGGAAGGUGUGGUCAUCUGCUACAGCAGUCUAGGACCAUGGACUGCAUACAGAGGAAUGUUCAUCUGCUGUAAUGGCCUUACAGAGAAGACUGUCAUAACGUUAUUUAAAAAAGUUUCUGAAAGUUAUUUAAUAUGGAAAUAAAACUACAUAAGUUACUGUGUAA